ensembl:lncRNA
CUGAGGAAGGGUGCUGGCACCCAGCUGCUGCCUGGACUUUGCACACCUGAUGGUGGUGCUUAGUGCCCAACAUUCCAACCUCUGCUUUGCCUGUCCUCACUUUGGCUGAGGAUGUGACUCAAGAGGGUGCCCAGCAGCAUUUCAGCUUGCAGAAAAUUCCUCAUGCAGCGCUGUGUUUUCAUUCUUGGAUGUGUGGGUUCAGGGGCGCAGUGAAGCCUGUUGUUGUGCGCCAUUCACAGGUGCUGGUGAAGAUCCCAGGUAACCAGUGAUAGAAUGACAGCCAUAUGCAAAGGAACCAGAACACUGCUUUGGCAGAGGCACUGAGGACUGCAGUUUGAAGAGGCAGAUAGGCAACAUCUGUAGGCAUCAAGCAGCGGUGAGUCCCUGCCGCACAGAGUGGGUGUUCGUGUUCAACAAGGCAAAGGAUAGAAUCCUGUGUCAAACCAGUGUGCGCUCAGUAAAAGCUGCCCUUCCCCUGGUGUGAGAAGAGAAACUAUUCUUCUUGCAGAAUCAGAAUGUCUUUUGUUUUCUUCUUCCUCAGGGUUAACCAUGUGGGAGAUGGGGGAAGCACAAAGUCUUAAUCACCCUUGUUUCAUUCCAGGCCAGGUGAGCUGUCUGACAUCUUUUUCACACAUCUGUCCAUUUUAAGCAACCUGAUUUUACAGCAGAUUUGGAAGUGUCCUAAAAUUGCUUCAGCAGUUACAUUUUCAUGCUCAAGUUUCAUUUUCCUGAAAUGGCCAUCAAAAUUGGAAGUUCUCGUUUUCACUGGCGCUGAAUGCUCUUUGUGUUUUAACCUAUUCAUUAAGGAAGCAAGUUAAAGUAAGAGUUCUUUUGUAGCUUAAUUAGAAUCAUAGAAUCAACAAAGUUGGAAGAGAUCUCUAAGAUCACCCAGUCCAGCUGUCCACCUACCACCACCAUUUCCCACACCUUUCAUCACAGCUGCUUAUACUUAGGUCAGCCAUAUGGUUCCCCCCUGCCCAAGUCAGGUCUUCAUAUAGAUCCUCUUGAAUUUAUUCAAACACAGACCAUUACAGACAGUGUGCUUCUGGAGCUCAGGGACUGUAAUGUAAUAAGGCACUAGAUGCCAAGAUUCUCCAUGGCAUCAGUUACUGCAAAAUCUAUCAAAUGCAAAGCUAUGGGCUCAUUUUGGAGAGGUCACCUGCAGGAUCUCACUUCUGGAGCAGUACUCGGGAAGGCCUGCAGCCCAGAUGUCUACACGUGGGUUUUCAAGGAACGUGGUCCACAAUCAGCAUGAGCAAAUCUCGUCUAUACUUCAAACUUUGGAUCCCAAAGCAGAUCGUCUGCUCUUUAAGGAUUAAGACAGGUUAUACUAUCCGCUUCAGACAUGGAGUCCUUGCAAAAGAACAUCCUGCUUCCUCUGUCUGAUAUCAGUAGUUAACCUUCUUCACAGCGAUCUCUGGUUUGCUGAAGGCUUGGGUACCUGGUCCUUCACCCUGCCCCCAUCCCCUGGGGUGAUGACUUAAGUUAUGCAGCAAUUCUGCAUUUGUUUUGCUAUUCUUCUGUUAAAAAAAAUAUGAAACUCAACUUGUUGAGCAAAUAACACAAAAAAGAGUGCAGAAUUGCAUGACCUACACAUACACUACUGUAACAAAAGUUUGUUUGGUGUCCUCCGUGCAUUUCUUGGGUACACUAUUGGUGGUGCUCAGUAAAUGUUAAGCCCUACAGAAGUUACGAUUUUCUUUCCUUUUGUGUACAGUUAACGACUUUGUACAUUGCAGACAUAGAUCAAAUAUCAUGCUAACACCUCUCACUUGUUGAAUCAGACACCCCAUCAAGAGUUGAGAUAAAUGGCCCAGCGACAGGAAUUGUUUAAGUACGCGAAUGAAUGAGCAAUCAUCCAUGAGCAAAGCUGACGACUUAGCAUCUGGAUGCUGCUAUUUCAUGAAGACCACGCUACAUCCUCUGCAGUUCUUAACUGCUUUGCACCUUUUGUUGCAGACCGAUGGUCCUCUACCUUGAAGUCUUAUUGAAAAAAAAAAAAAAAAUAAGAGCAAACAUUUGCUUCGAGGUUGUGCAAACGCCUGUCCCUGUCUAUCUCCUUGAAUCUGUUGAUGCUGUCCCAACAGAGGAUGAUGAAAGGUCAUCAGCAGAAAAUCUAUUUUUUUAAUUUGGCCUUGGUCUGUGGAAGGAAAAUAAUAUUGCAACAUGGCUUACAUAAGAAUACAGGCCCAGGCAAAUUCAUUCAUGCGAUGAAAUCAUACAGCCUUCAAAUACUGCUGGCUCUCCAUGUUGGAAUAGAAUAAGGUGGAAAGAAUAUGUUGCCGAAGAGUACUAAUAACCAUCUGUACACAGAAUAGGUGAGGCCUACAGUCAACGGCAGGUCAUAAUUGCACAAAGUUGGGAAAAUUUUUCUCUAACAGCUUGCUCACUCAUCUUUACCCCAAAAAUGAGACAGAGGGGAGUCUCCAGCUUUCUCUCCCCCCAGGAUUUCUCACAGUAUCUGGGAUUGAAACCCCCCUUUUAUCCCUAUCCUUCAACUGUAUUGUUUCUCCUCGUUUCCUCACUGGCUGAAGUACUGAGGUUACAGACUUCCUGGUCCACCCAAUACACGUUCCCCCUUGUAUGUCAUCCCCUUUUGUAUCAUGUAUCAUGUGUGUAAUUAACUCCAACUUCAUGCAGCUCAGGGAGGAGAAGUUAAUUAUGCUACUAAAUCUGCUCAGCAUGUCCAAAGUUUGUAAGUUCAGUUGUUGACAGACCUUCAUAACUAAAAUCUUGUUUGGUAAGAAUGUACAGACACCAACAGGAGAGGAAUCUGCAAGCCUCUGCACAAGUUUGUGAGCAAGGGCAUCUUGUUUGCAAACCUCUGGGUAAAUAACAUUGUUAGCAAGGACAUCUUGUUUGUAAGCCUCUUUUGUUUCGUGUGAAGAGCAAAUGCAAGAUAUAAGGGAGCUAAUACUUUGGUUAUUGUAAAACCAUGUGCUUUAUAAGCACCAGUACCUAAUUAUGACCUUAAUUAUUAUAGUUCUGUGAAUUGUUAAAUAAAUGCUUUCUAAAUCACUAUGCAAAACUAUUGC